rfam:Hordeum vulgare subsp. vulgare, WGS project CAJW01000000 data, contig: morex_contig_94395
CAUCUACUCCCACCGUCCGAAAAACUUGUCCAAGGAAUGGAUGCAUCUAGAUGUAUUUUAGUUCUAGAUACAUCCAUUUUCAUUCAUUUUUUUAGACAAGUAAUUCCAGACGGAGGGAGUAUAUG